AUGGAUCCGAGCUACUGUCGUAGAUCAAAAAGUGAGGAUGAAUUUGCUCUUUUUGUUCUUCCUACUUUAGGAGAACCCUCUCAUUCCUCAAGAAGACCUAUGCACACUUCAAUACUUACAGGCGCACGGCGUGUAAACGAAAUUUUAAAUGGACAUGAAGACCUAUGCAAAAGGUACUUCAGAAUGGAGACUGACAUAUUUCAAGCUUUGGUUCAGAAACUGCGCGAGAAUGAUCGCCUUGUCACUACUAGGAAAAGGCCUGCUAGUGGCGCACCAGUUUUGCCUACUAAUGGCGCACUACUGGUGCGCCACUAG
rnacentral:rRNA from 1 species